AAAUUAUCCUCAUAAGUUAGACGAUAAGAGGUACCAUCUAUUUAUUAGGGUCUAAUAUUUAGAUGGUGGCACAGAAUCGGAGGCCCCGACUGUUUACUAAAAACACAACACAGUGCAAUCAUUAAUGUGGUAGUAUACUGUGUGAAAUUUGCCCAAUGCCAUUAAUAUAAAAGCGGUCAUAGGAAACUGUGACUAAUUGAAAAUCUGGUUAAUAGCGGUCUUAACCAUGAGGAUCCUAAGGUAGCAAAAUAAAUUGGCCAUUAAAUGUGGUCCGGUAUCAAUAAUGUAACGAUGGCCUCACUGUCUCUACAACUUGCUCAGUGAAAUUGAAUUACGCGUGCAGAUGCGCGUUACCUCCAGUGGGACGGGAAGACCCUAUGCACUUCU
rnacentral:rRNA from 1 species